CGGCUAAUAGCCGCGGCUGCCGGCCCCGCUCUGCCCCGCGGCGGUGGAGAGCGCCAGGGCGGGCUGGGCUGGGCCGGGGGAUCUUCUUGCCAAUGGGCUUUACUUCCCGCGGCGGACGGAGCUGUCGCCCCUUGUCCCUGCCUCUCCCUUACUACAAGCGGAGGGGGAAGGCAGAGGCACAAUAUGUAUCCAGCAGCCCGACUUGUCAAUGGCUCGCCUCUCCGGGCGUGGUAAAGGCAGAAAUAUGGCGGCCCGUCUCCCUCGCUCUCUCCCCAGCCCACCUCACGGCUCCCUCCGCAAAUGCAAACCUUGGGAACAUCACCCCCCAUCCCCCUGCCCGGGAUGUGCACCCCCCCAAGAGCAAGGACACAGCGAGGAGCAAGUGUAUUUUUCUCCCCCACCCCAAAUGGCCGCAAGGAACAUUGUCUUCCACAUUUAUCCUGUAGGGCAGGAUUUUUUAUUUUAUUUUUUUAAUCCCUCAUGUUUUGGGGUUGGGGGUGUUUUUUCUUUGUUUUUCUUUUUCUCCCCCCCCCCCCCCCCACAUCUGCUUUUGUCUGCCUCUGUGCAGCUUGUAACAUGGCACUUUGUUAUAGCCCUCCCUUCUCUUCUUGGACGAGAUCGUUUGGUAGCAUUGCAACAAUUCACUGGAGGGGAAAAGGGAAGGCCAAAAAACACAACAAAAACAAACCAAUCCUCUCUAUGUCUUCAGAUGGAAAUUAAAAACAUUGGGGAUAAAAGUUUCCCGGGCACCAGUUGUCACUUGCCGUGCCAGUGAGAUCUUCGGGGCUUAAUAUACACAAGAAGACAAGCAAAGACCUUUCACAUCCGUCAGAGCAAAAAAGAAAAGCAGCAAGAUACUACUCUUACUGAUAUGCUACCAUUUACACAAAUUGAUAUAUGUUUUAUCCCUGCAGUAGGGGGAUAAAAGCUACCAGAACAACUUCCUCAAAGGCUAAAAACUGCACUCUUGGUAUAAAAGGCACAGAAGGCAAUAGCACAGUGCAGCCAAGAAACAUAAGCAUGAAUCCCAGGCCACUGAAAAAAUUUGUGGCAGCUUUGGAAGACGAGUAGGUGCAUGGUAACAUGAUGGGUGGAUCUGCAACGUCACAAGUCAACUGAUCGAAAGUCCUCUGCACAGUGAGGGCACAGCUACCACAUGCAACUUCAGCCCUCAAAGACCCUGCAAUGAAGUAAUCUUCCCGCAGUGGAGGAAGUCUGACUCAGCACUCUGUAGACUUUGAUAAUCCCAUUUUAUAUGUUCACUACAGGGGACUGUAAGAGUCUCUCCAGACUCUGAAUACUACUUAUAUACCAAGAAUGUGAAAAUAACUUUUAAUUUUGUGUUUUCAAAGUUUAGUGGCCCUGUACUGUACUUUAUCUGCUUGCACCCCUCUCAUUGAUACCUGUGGAUUAUUAACAUGUAAUUUGAGGGCAGUAUAAGGUUUUAAGAGUUUAGUCUUACCCUCCAGUAUGUAUCUUGGGUAAGAACUCAUAUACGGGUAGGUAUGUGGUAACAUGAUGGGUGGAUCUACAACAUCACAGGUCAACUGAUCAAAAGUCCUUGUUUAUAAGAAUAUAAAUAUUCUUAUAAAUAGGUAGGAAUAUAAAUAUUUUCACACCACCUCAGAAAAAAGGUCCAUGUAUUUUUUCUCUUCCAGUAGCCAUUAACCGAUGGUUUAGCUGAAUAAUAAUGGUCAGUUAUGCAAUAAUACAUCUAUGGGAGAAGUUGCUUCUUAACUCUAAUCAGGAUAAUGGUUGACUUUUGUCCAGUGGCUUUAUAUCUCUUAUAGAUUUCUUUAUACUAGCCAAUGUAUCUGUGAACAAUAUACUUAUUGCCCAUCUGUGGAUAUGGAACAAUUGAACUAUUCCAAAAUGUUGCAGAUGGGAAACUGCUUACAAUUGUUGUGAGGCAUGGUGUGGACACACAUAACAAUUAAACCAUUCCAAAGGGG